rnacentral:tRNA from 1 species
GUGACCAUAGUUUAGUGGUAGAACGCGCGGCUGUGGCCCGCGUGACGGGGGUUCGAUUCCCCCUGGUCGCCCCA